UACAGAGGGGGCCAGCGUUAUUCGGAAUUAUUGGGCGUAAAGGGCGCGUAGGCGGCCACCGCAAGUCGAUUGUGAAAUCUCCGGGCUUAACUCGGAAAGGUCAACCGAUACUGCGGGGCUAGAGUGCAGAAGGGGCAACUGGAAUUCUCGGUGUAGCGGUGAAAUGCGUAGAUAUCGAGAGGAACACCUGCGGCGAAGGCGGGUUGCUGGGCUGACACUGACGCUGAUGUGCGAAAGCUAGGGGAGCGAACGGG
rnacentral:rRNA from 1 species